GGUGGGAUCAGAGUGUUUAUUGCUUAUUCAAUCUGAAGUCUUUACCAAAUCUACCCAUGCACUCUACUACAGGAUGUGUUUAUUAGUUGACUGAUGCUUACCAUUUUACAUACUGUACUAUUGUUAUUGACUUAAGGCACUUAAUAUGAUAGAGAGGUUGUUUUUUUUUCGGAGGUUAUAAUUAUAGUUUUUGGAGGAAAGUUCGAGGACGGAAGUUAUUAUUACAGUGUCCCUUUUCUCAAGGUACUAUGCAUGGGACUAAUGGUGUGAGGCUCUACUCUUAAGACCUGGAGGGUGGUCACACAGACCAGGAGAGUGCAGCUGGUAGAGCAGCACAUCCACAAAGUGGUGGACUUCUACAUCUCCCAGAGCCAGGCGGCCAACCAUGCAGUGAGAGAGAGGCAUGCAGCCUGCAUCUGUACUGCAGAGC